rnacentral:rRNA from 1 species
AUUGAACGCUGGCGGCAUGCCUUACACAUGCAAGUCGAACGGUAACGGGCCUUCGGGUGCCGACGAGUGGCGAACGGGUGAGUAAUACAUCGGAACGUGCCCGAUCGUGGGGGAUAACGAGGCGAAAGCUUUGCUAAUACCGCAUACGAUCUACGGAUGAAAGCAGGGGACCGCAAGGGCUUGCGCGGACGGAGCGGCCGAUGGCGGAUUAGGUAGUUGGUGGGAUAAAAGCUUACCAAGCCGACGAUCUGUAGCUGGUCUGAGAGGAUGAUCAGCCACACUGGGACUGAGACACGGCCCAGACUCCUACGGGAGGCAGCAGUGGGGAAUUUUGGACAAUGGGCGCAAGCCUGAUCCAGCCAUGCCGCGUGCAGGAUGAAGGCCUUCGGGUUGUAAACUGCUUUUGUACGGAACGAAAAGCCUUCUUUUAAUACAGGAGGGUCAUGACGGUACCGGAAGAAUAAGCACCGGCUAACUACGUG